rnacentral:rRNA from 1 species
CGGCGGGAUUCGCGAGCGGCGCGUCGAUGACGCCCGCGGCCGCAUGCGGGGCGAUCGGCGUGGCCGCGCGGCAGGCGGUCGAGCAGGCGCGCGAGGGGGCGCGCGCGGCGCGCCCGCAUGCGCCGCGCGCGGCGCGUUGCGAGCUGCAGGCGCAGAGCGUCGCGGCCGCCGACCUGUUCUGUCAGUGGCCGUCGCUCGAGCGCGUCGACGCGCUCACGCUGCGCUUUUUCGCGCCAUCGAUCGAGCACGUCGUGCGGACGCUGAACUGCCUGUCGGCGAUGUCGUUCAUGCUGAGGUGAACGCGCCGGGGCGCGCCCUCGCGCGGCGGCGCGCGGGCGCGUAGGGCGGCGUAGGGCUAUGACGAUGCGCCGCGGCUCGCUUGCAGGCGGCCGCGUGGCGAGCCGGACGGCGCGCGGGCGCGGGCGGGUGCAUCGAUUUCACGCUCGAAAUCGGAUACCCGAAAGCCGAAAGCCGAAAGCCGAAAGCCGAAAGCCGAAAGCCGAACCCGAACCCGAACCCGAGCCCGAGCCCGAGCCCGAGCCUCGAAGUCAUGCCCGAGGCCGUCCCUCAAACAUCGAAGAACACCGUCUCCCGCUCGCCCUGCAUAUGGAUGUCGAAGCGAUAGACCGUCACGCCGUUCGCCUGUGCGUCGCGCGUCGCGAUCAGCGUCGCGCGACGCACGGCGGGCACGGAUGCGAGCGCCGCGUCGGCGGCGUUCGCCGCCGCCUCGUCGUCGAAGUAGAUCCGCGUGAACGCAUGCGCGAGCAUGCCGCGCAUCAUCACCGUCACGUCGAUGUGCGGCGCGUCCGUGUCGGACGUGCGCGCCGGCUUCACCGUGCGCACGACGAAGCGGUUCUGCGCGUGCGUGCCGGUGCCGACGCGCGCGAAGCCGCUGAAGCCGCGCUGCGCCGCUUCGUCGCGCGAGGCCGGAUAGCGGCCGUCGCCGUCGACGUGCGUGAACUCGAGCAACGCGUCGCCCACCGGAUGGCCGUCGCCGUCGAGCACGCGGCCGACGAGCAGGAUCGGCUCGCCCGCGGCGUCGGGCGUCGCGAUCUCCGCCGUGAAGAGGCUCUUCAGAUCGUAGUUGUACUGCUGCGGGCAGAGGCCAUACGCGAAGUACGGGCCGACGGUCUGCGAAGGGGUCUGUUUCAGCGUCGUCAUGUUCAGCGCUCCAUCGGGGUGGCGUCGCGGCCGCGCAGCACGAUGUCGAAUUCGUAGCCGAGCGCGAAGCCUUCUUCGGUCGUGUCGAUCGAGAAGCGCGAGAUCAGCCGCUCGCGCGCGUCCUCGGGCGUGCCCUGGAAGAUCGGGUCGAGCGCGAGGAGCGGAUCGCCCGGGAAAUACAUCUGCGUGACGAGCCGCGAGCCGAAGUAGUCGCCGAACAACGAGAAAUGGAUAUGGUUCGGCCGCCAGGCGUUCGGAUGGUUGCCCCACGGAUACGCGCCCGGCUUGAUCGUGAGGAACCGAUAGCGGCCGUUCGCGUCGGUCAGGCACCGGCCCGCGCCGAGGAAGUUCGGGUCGAGCGGCGCGUCGUGCUGGUCGACCUUGUGCACGUAGCGGCCCGCGGCGUUCGCCUGCCAGACCUCGACGAGCGUGUCGCGCACCGGCUUGCCGCCCUCGUCGAGCACACGGCCCGUGACGACGAUCCGCUCGCCGAGCGGCUCGCCGUUCUUCGCCGCGUUCUUCGUCAGAUCGUGGUCGAGCGCGCCGAGAUCGUCCGCGCCGUAGACGGGCGCGUGCUGGUUACGCAGCGUCUCCUUCAGCGGAAUCAGCGGCUGCGUCGGGCCGCGCUUCACGGAAGAGCGGUACGGCGGAUGAAUGUACGCGGGAUGCGACGGCCAGUCGCGCGGCGCGAGGGUCGAGGAAUCCAUCGGAAACGUCUCCAGAUUGAUGAUUGUCAAGGGGGGUGACAGGACUUUAGCUAAUGCGGAAAGUUAUGCAAAAUGAUGUUUUAUCGCGAAUCGUAUAACUAACCGUUAUGCAUAACCGGAUCGCCGACGGCCGGGUCAAGUUCCGGCACCUGCAGUGCUUUCUCGCCGUUGCGCAGUUCGGCAGCGUGCAGAAGGCCGCGCACAGCCUGUCGAUCACGCAGCCCGCCGUGUCGAAGACGAUCGCCGAGCUCGAAUCGAUCCUCGGCGUGCGGCUGUUCGAGCGCGGCCGGCAGGGCGCGCGGCCCACGCGCGAGGGCCAGCUUUUCAUGCCGCACGCGAGCGCGUGCGUGCUCGCGCUGCGGCAGGGCGUGGGGCUGCUCGCGCGCGAGGGCGGCGGCGCGGCGGCCACUCUCGAGAUCGGCAUGCUGCCGACCGUCGCCGCGUCGCUCGCGCCCGCCGUGCUGAAAACGCUCGCGGCCGAAUGGCCGCGCGCGGUUGUGCGGAUCACGACCGUCGCGAACGCCGAGCUGCUCGAGCGGCUGAAGGCGGGGGCAAUCGAAUGCGCGAUCGGGCGGCUGUCGGAGCCCGAGCGGAUGGUGGGGCUGUCGUUCGAGCAUCUGUACAACGAGCCGCUCGUCGCGGUCGUGCGCGCGGGCCAUCCGCUUGCGGCGAGCGCUUCGCCCGCCGCGCAGCUCGCGCGCUAUCCGGUCGUGCUGCCGCCUUACGGCACGAUUAUCCGGCAAGCGGCCGAGCAAUUGUUGAGCGCGUGCGGCGCGCCGCCGCUCGAAUCGUUCGUCGAGGUGCUGUCGGUGUCGGUCGCGCGCGCGCUCGCGCUCGAGAACGACGCGGUGUGGUUCGUGCCGCGCUACGCGGCCGAAUUCGAUCUCGCGGCCGGCACGCUCACGCGGCUCGCGCUGCCCGUCGACGGCGCGGACGAGCCGGUCGGGCUGAUCCUGCGCACCGACGCGCAGCCGUCACCCGUCGUGCGCGCGCUGAUCGACGCGGUGCGCGCGAUUGCGCGGCGGCGGCUUGCCGGAGCGGGCACGACGAGCGGGCGCGCGCGCGGCGCGCGAGGC